rnacentral:rRNA from 1 species
CCUACGGGAGGCAGCAGUGAGGAAUAUUGGUCAAUGGGCGGAAGCCUGAACCAGCCAAGUAGCGUGCAGGAUGACGGCCCUACGGGUUGUAAACUGCUUUUAUACGGGAAUAACGCGCCUUACGUGUAGGGCUUUGCAUGUACCGUAUGAAUAAGGAUCGGCUAACUCCGUGCCAGCAGCCGCGGUAAUACGGAGGAUCCGAGCGUUAUCCGGAUGUAUUGGGUUUAAAGGGAGCGUAGAUGGGUUGUUAAGUCAGUUGUGAAAGUUUGCGGCUCAACCGUAAAAUUGCAAUUGAUACUGGCAGCCUUGAGUACAGUUGAGGUAGGCGGAAUUCGUGGUGUAGCGGUGAAAUGCUUAGAUAUCACGAAGAACUCCGAUUGCGAAGGCAGCUUACUAAACUGCCACUGACAUUGAUGCUCGAAAGUGUGGGUAUCAAACAGGAUUAGAUACCCCAGUAGUC